rnacentral:pre_miRNA from 1 species
AAACUACUCCCUCCGUCCCAAAAUUCUUGUCUUAUAUUUGUCUAGAUAUGAAUAUAUCUAGUCAUGUUUUAGUAUUUUGGUACAUCCGUUUCUAUAAAAAACGUAAGACAAGAAUUUUGGGACGGAGGGAGUAUAUA